GGCUGGUCUGAAAGUAGUGAGUUAUCUCAAUUGAUGGUUCACAGUUAGUUACAGAUCGAACUUGUUGUUCUACUCUUUCCUUUCUUCUCACAACUGCUUUCAACUAGUCUUUU
ensembl:misc_RNA Y_RNA Y RNA